UACGGGAGGCAGCAGUGGGGAAUAUUGCACAAUGGGCGCAAGCCUGAUGCAGCCAUGCCGCGUGUAUGAAAAAGGCCUUCGGGUUGUAAAGUACUUUCAGUCGUGAGGAAGGUGUUAAGGUUAAUAACCUUAGCAAUUGACGUUAGCGACAGAAGAAGCACCGGCUAACUCCGUGCCAGCAGCCGCGGUAAUACGGAGGGUGCGAGCGUUAAUCGGAAUUACUGGGCGUAAAGGGCACGCAGGCGGUUAAUUAAGUUGGAUGUGAAAUCCCCGGGCUUAACCUGGGAAUGGCAUUCAAGACUGGUUAGCUAGAGUCUUGUAGAGGGGGUAGAAUUCCAUGUGUAGCGGUGAAAUGCGUAGAGAUGUGGAGGAUACCGGUGGCGAAGGCGGCCCCUGGACAAAGGCUGACGCUCAUGUGCGAAAGCGUGGGGAGCAAAC
rnacentral:rRNA from 1 species